CAAAUCCUUUUAGUAAGAGAGGUGGGCAGAUUUAGUUUUGGUGAAGCUGUGAUGGGCGGGUGUUUUAUCAACACAUCACACAUAAAUCCUUGAGAAUAAAAGCCCCUGUCUGUCCACUUUAUGAACACAUCUCAGUUCAACAGAAACUUCAGAAGAAUACAAGACAACUGUAAAAAUGAAUAAAAUGUGGAUCUUGUGCCUUGGGAUACUGAUCAUGACUUUACCAUUUUCAGCUUCACAGAUGAUUAUUACAGAAGAUAAUCGAGAAGUUAGGGUAGCUAGAGGACAAGUUGGUAAAGAUAUCACCGCUGCAGGAUGGAGUCCUAUGUCCACCCCACUGUGUCUACUGAUACCAGCAGCCACGCUCCUCAUCCUCUACGGCAAAUCUUAAACUGGAUGAAGGAAGUUUGCCGUCAAUCCAGAAGACAGUGAUAACAAGAACGGUUUGAAAUUCUACAAAAGAAAGAAAAAAAAUAUCUGAGCUCAUACUUAUGGAUUUUUUAAAAUAAGGAAUAAAAAUUGAAGUUAUGUAAUAACAUUGUACACUGUAUAAUAUGAAUCUUGUCAGUGUCAUCUUUCUUCUCUUACAAUAUUUUAUUAUAAACAAACACUGAAUCAAUAUGUACAAUUAAAGCAGAUGAUUCUAUGUGUUUGCAUGUCACCUUUUAUUCAUCCUGGCAUUAACAUUUGUCUUUAUAACAUACUAUAAAAAUAGUUUUACUAUGUGUUAAGGUUGUAAUGUUAAGAUCCACCGGAAGAGAAGAUGAUGUUUGUUCAAUGCUACAAAAAUUACAGUGUAACCAGUUUGUUUUAUCUUAGUGGUUAAAAACCUACAUAUGAAGUGCUAAAAAAUAAAAGUUUGAAACCAUAA